UGCAGCAGUGGCAGAGGAUGGAGGCUUGGUGCCGUCUGCCCGUCUGGACCCGUGUGUUGCGUGGAACCCCUGCGUGCAGCUGGGCACCGCUGGCUGCAGGUGAAGGAAUUACUGCAUGGUAUCCCAUGGGAAACUGUCCUCAGGGACAUAGGAAUGGAAUGCUGCUGCCAGCACUCUAAGAACACCUUUCUGAGAGCACAAGAGUUCUCAAUCCCUCAGCAGGGAAAAGAAAGAAAUGUAAAAGCGGUGAAAGCAGGGAUACUGGCCUGGAAAGAAUGCAGGGAUGCCAUCUGAACGUGCAAAGAUGGAACUGAGCUUGAUGAGGAAUGUGAAAAUUAACAUGAAGGGGGUGUAGAGAAACAGUGGUCAGAAUAGACGGACGAAAGAGAGUGCACCUCCUCUAGUAAAUGAGAAGGGAGGACUAGCUUCAACAAACAUACAGAAAGCUGAGGUACUCCGCAAGUUCUUAGCCUCAAUAUUCAUUGGCAGUCAGGCUUCUUAUGUCUCUUUUAUGUCACUGAUCUUUUAGGCAGGUCAAGGGUGCAAAAUCCCUCCCACUGAAAGAACAGAGUAAGCCAGAUACUGCCUCAUAAGGCUGAAAUUGUACAAAUCUAUGGGGCCAGAUAGCAUGCAUACCAGGGUCCUGGUGGAAUGGGUUGAUGUGGCCACCAAGUCCAUCUCCAUCGUAUUUGAAAAGUCGGGGCUGUGAGGCAAAGGCCUGGUGACUGGAAAAAGGGAAACAAUCACUCCCAUUUUAAGAAAGGAAGACCUGGGGAACUAUGGACUGGUGAGCCUCAUGUCUGUGCCUGGAAAGAUCAGAGCGGAUCCUCCUGGAAGCUAUGUUGAAGCACAUGAGAGACAUGGAGGUGAUCUGAGAUGGCCAACACAGAGUCUUCAUCAAUGACAUCGACUAUGGGGUUGAGUGCACUUUCAGCAAGCUUACCUAUGACAUCAACAUGUGGGGUUGACACACCAGAAGGAUGGGAUGCCAUGCAGAGAGACCUAGACAGGCUUGAGCAGUGGGCCAAUGUGAACCUCAUGAGGUUCAACAAAUCCAAGUGAAAGGUCUUGCACCUGAGUCAAGGCAGUCCACAUUGCCAGUACAAAUUGGGAAAUGAAAUGAUUGAGAGCAGCUCUGCUGAAAAAAAAAUUGGGGGGACUGGUAGAUGGCAAGCUGGACAUGAGCCAGCAAUGUGUCCUCACAGCCCAGAAAGCCAACUGUAUCCUGGGCUGCAUCACAAGUAGUGUGGCCAGCAGGUUGAGGGAGGUGAUCCUGCCCCUCAACUCUGUGCUGAUGAGACCUCAGCUGAGGGUCUCUGUCCAGAUGUGGAGUCCUCAGUACAGAGGGACACGGAUCUGCUGGAUUGUGUCCAGAGAAGGACCAUAAAAAUGAUCCAUGGAAUUGAACACAGGAGUUCAAUUCCAAAAAAGGAUCCAUGGAAUUUCCUACAAGGGCAGGCUGGGAGAGCUGGAGCUGUUCAACCUGAAGAAAAGGCUGUGAGGUGACCUGAUAGCGGCCUUUUGGUAUUUAAAGGGGAGCUUCAGGAAAGAAGGGGACAGACUCUCUAGCAGAGUCUGUGGCAAUAGAAAAAGGGGAAAUGGCUUCAAGCUCAGGGAGGUUAGAUUUAGCUUAGGUGUAAGGAAAAAAAUCUUUUACAGUUAGGGGGAUGAGGCACUGGAACAGAUUACCUGGUGGUUUGAUUGAUGCCCAUUCCCUGGCAACUUUCAAUAUAAGGCUGGAUCAGGCCCUGGGCAAUCUGAUCUGGCUGUGGUGUCCAUGUUCAUUGCAGGGGUAUUGGACUGAAUGGUCCUAAGAUGUCCCUUCCAACUGUAAGGAUUCUAUGAUGCACUAAGGGCACAUUGUGUCUGACCAAUCUGGUGGCCUUCUGUGAUAAAGUGAUGGCAGUGGUUGAUAAAGGAAGGGCAAUCCAUGUAAUCUACCUGGACUUCUGUGAAGCUUUUGAUACAGUCCCAUACCAUAUCCUCAUUUCUAAAUUGAAGAGAUAUAGACUUGGAGGCUGGACUAUUUGGUGAAAAAAGAAUUUGUUGGAUGGUCACAGCCAGAGGGUUGUGGUCAGUGGCUCUAUGUCUAGAUGGAGGCUGGUCAUGAGUCAUGUCCCUCAGGGGCCAGUCUUGGGAUUGGUGCUCUUCAACAUCAAUGGCCUAGAUUGUAAAAUCAAGUGCACCCUCAGCAAAUUGACUGAGGAGACUAAGCUGAGUGGUGCAGUUGAUACAACAGAAAGAAGGGACACCAUCCAGAGGGACCUAGACAGACUUGAAAAGAGGGCCCAUGAGAACCUAAGUGCAACAAAGUCAAGUACAGGGUGCUGCAGUGGGGUCAGGGUAAUCCCAGAUAUGUGUACAGACUGGGAGAAGAGCCCAUUGAGAGCAGCCCUGCUGAGAAGGACACAAGGGUCCUGGUGGAUGAAAAGCUGGACAUGAGCCAGUAAUGUGUGCCUGCAGCCCAGAAAGCCAACAGUGCCCUGGGCUGCAUCACAAGAGGGGCAGCCAGCAGGACAAGGGAGGUGAUCGUCUCCCUCUACUCAGCUCUUGUGAGGACCCAUCUGGAGUACUGCGUCCAAGCAUGGUGUCGCUAGUAAAGGAGGGAUGCAGAGCUGCUGGAUCUCAUAUGAAGAAAGGGAGAGGGAAUUGGGCUUGUUUAGCUUGGAGAAGGUUCUGGGGAAACCUCACUGCAGUUUUCUAGUAGAUGAAGGGUGCUUAUGUGAAGGAAGAAGACUGACUCUUUACACACCCUGAUAGUGAUAGGACAAAGGGAAAAGAGCUUGAAACUAAAAGAUGGGAGAUUGAAGUUGGAUGAUAGAUGUAAAUUCCUUACUUACUGGAACAGGCUGCCCAGAGAAGCUGUGGAUGUCCCAUUAUUGAAAGCGUUCAGGGUUUGAGUGGAUGGAGCCCUGAUCUGGUAGGGGGACACCUUGGCUACAGGAGGGGAUUGAAGCCAGAUGAUGUUUAAAGACUUCUUCAACCCAAACGUGAUCUCUAGCAUCCCUGGUGCAGAAGGGCAGUGCUAAUGGGCCUGACAUCUGGUGGAGCAGUCUCCUGAGGCAUGGCAGUCUUGUUCUGGGACAGUGGCUUCUACUCCGUAGAAGUACAGCUGGGCAACCCAUUCCCCAGCCCUACCAGUUCAGCCAAACGUCAAUGUGUUCGUGGCCAAUUAAUUACUUUCUGUUCCCACCAGGUAGGUUUAAUCAAACUUUUUUUUUACUUCAGUAAAAGUAAAGUACAAGUAGAAGUACAGCUGGGCAACCCAUUCCCCAGCCCUACCAGUUCAGCCAAACAUCAGUGUGUUCGUGGCCAAUUAAUUACUUUCUGUUCCCACCAGGUAGGUUUAAUCAAACUUUUUUUUUUU